rnacentral:rRNA from 1 species
GAUGAACGCUGGCGGCGUGCCUAAUACAUGCAAGUCGAGCGAACAGACGAGGAGCUUGCUCCUCUGACGUUAGCGGCGGACGGGUGAGUAACACGUGGAUAACCUACCUAUAAGACUGGGAUAACUUCGGGAAACCGGAGCUAAUACCGGAUAAUAUAUUGAACCGCAUGGUUCAAUAGUGAAAGACGGUUUUGCUGUCACUUAUAGAUGGAUCCGCGCCGCAUUAGCUAGUUGGUAAGGUAACGGCUUACCAAGGCGACGAUGCGUAGCCGACCUGAGAGGGGGAUCGGCCACACGGGAACUGAGACACGAGCCAGACUCCUACGGGAGGCAGCAGUAGGGAAUCUUCCGAAAUGGGCGAAAGCCUGACGGAGCAACGCCGCGUGAGUGAAGAAGGUCUUCGGAUCGUAAAACUCUGUUAUUAGGGAAGAACAAAUGUGUAAGUAACUAUGCACGUAUUGACGGUACCUAAUCAGAAAGCCACGGCUAACUACGUG